ACCCUGGCACCUCCCCACAGCCCCGCAUCGGACCCAAGGACAGUCCCAGGAGACGUGGGGGCGCUCACCCCUUUCGUGGACGGGAAACUGAGGCAGGCGGGUGAAGGUCGGCUCACAUGCGGAGCUCAGGUGGGUGGGGACCCUGGGCCAAGACCCUGUCUCAGUGCCUCAGUGGGGACUGGGUUGGAUGGGAGGGGGGAUACGGUGCAGGAGGAGGGGACUUAGAACCAGGGGGAGAGCGGAGAGCCUCCAGGAUGAACUAGGGGAGAAGGGAAUGGCAGCAGCGUUCGCUCCUAUUCACCGAACCCCUGGCUGGCUGACCCGGGAAAAACAGUCUACCAAUUUAUCUCAUAAAGUAACCCUAAAAUACUUCUGCAGGCAUCACCCUAUGUUCCAGGUGAGCCACUGAGGCUCAGGGAGGACAGAGGUGAAGGAUCUUGCCCCAGUCACAGGAGGAAUCACAGGCAGAAAGGGGGAGAUGGAAAGAGAUGAGAAAAGGGAGGCACAGAGAGGCUAAAUAAUUUGGCCAAGAUCACACAGAAGCAGAGGAGCAGAAGGGUGGACCCAGGCAGGCCAGCUCUGCAGCCCCUGCUCUUGGCCACCAUGGGCUCCUCCUCUGGGCUAACCCAGCCCUUGCCAGAAUCCUACAUGGAAAGUAUUAUCAUCCCAUUGAAUAGAAGAGGAAAUGGAGGCACAGAGGGGCCCCAGGAUGGCAGAAUUAGUAACUGGGGUUGGGGGGAGCUGGGAUUAGACCCAGGUCUGAAAGCCAGGCCUUCCCUCUACCCUUCCUAUUUGCCAAACACCCGGGCCCCAUCCUGCCCAAGGUCAGCAGCCCAGGUGGCAGGAUGUGCUUCUGCCUGGUGCUGGCCUUGGGGAGCACUUGUUUUUCCCCAGAGGAAGCAGCAGGUGUGGCCUUCUUUAUGGAAAUGAUCCUAACUGGGUUGGAGCCAGGAUUCCCCCCAACACACACCCAGGCCAGGAGGACUUCAAUAGGACUAGGUCAGAGCUUCUAGGCUUGGAUGGAGGGGCUGGAAUUUGGGAGAGGGGCUCGGAGGUCAGUCCCAUUUUGGUAAGCCUCUCACCCUCUGGACUCCAUAUCUCCUGCUAAUCGCACUCCUUGGAUGAGACAGUGACAUGGAAGUGCCUCCCAGCUCAGCCCUGGGGAGACCUCUCCAAGGUCACUGAAGGAAGCUGGGGGCAUGCCCCUACCCUUCUUUCUGGAGCAGAGCCCUGGGACCUUCUGGAGUCCCAGUCAGGCUGGGGUCUACAAGGGUUAAGACUCCAAGUGACUUCUCUGUCUGCCCCUCAUGCAGAUAAAAGUUUCCAUUCAAGGAAGAGCUGCCUUAGGGCUGCCAAGUUAUCCUGAUUCUGUCAUUGUAGCAUCAAGGUGGGGGCCUUGGGCCUUCCCAGCCUCUUCAAGGGGACAUUCUUGGGUGGGAUGUGGCUCCUAACUGGUGUCACCACCUCAAAGGCCAAUAUCCCAAGACCCAGAAUUCCCACGUUGGACUCAGGGACUGGCGAGAUCACACUGACUCCUUCUGCCAGGGCCCUUUAAGAGCCGCCCAUCCCGCCCAUGAUGCUCCUGCUUAGUGAGUCAGACACUUGCAUUAGGCCCCAGGGGAGGAAGAGAAACAGGCCUCAGAAAGCACUUGGAAGGGCAGGGAAGGGCUGGGAAGAAACCUGGCUCAGAAGAUGGUGCCCUCCCCUCACAUAUUCCCAGACUGGAAGGGGCAUCUUACUUCUGAGCUCCCCACAGCCCCAGCCUCCUGGCUGUCUCUCCUGGCUGCUGAAAUAAAGGCCAAGCCCUUUUAUCACCUUUGUUAUGUGACCCUGCCUGCUGGUUGGGCCUCAUCUCUCGCCCCUAGUUCUUUGCUUUCAGGGCCACACCAGCCCUCUUGACUGUUCUUGAAUCCAUCAUGAUUCUUUCUACCCCAGGGACCUUGCACUAGCCAGCAUCUUGCUGCGCUUCCUCCCGUCUCAAUUGGCUAAUGUGGGAGAGGCAUUUUCUUUACACACCCAGAGAAAAUAGAGCCUGCUACCUUCCAAGACUGAGAGGGUUGGAAGAAACUUUUUGUAUUGUAGCUUGAGGGUGGGAAGGAGAAGACACAAUUUGAGCAUAAGAAGGUGAGCUGGAAGCUGGGCACGGUGGCUUAUGCCUGCAAUCCCAGUGUUAGGAAUGCUUGUUCUCCACUGCUGCAAAGAAAUAGCACUCAAACAUAAAUUUAAUUUUCUCAGCAAGCAAUUUUUAGUUUCUGUAGAAAGGGUGCUCCUCAUAGAUGGAACAAUGGUGAGAGCACAGUUGAACAAGGGAGGGGAAGGGGUUCUUAUUCCUGACCCAGGUAAUCCCUGCUGCUAUGUUGUUCCCCUGUUGGCUAAGGUUGGACCGCACGGUCUAAGCUAAUUCCGAUUGGCUAUUUUAAAGAGAGCAGAGGUAUGAGCCAGAGUGGCGAGGUGAGUAGUUUGGCAGGAAGGACAGUUAGGAACGGGUAACUAAAGGUGACUUACAUCAGAGCAGGUGACCAGGGGUGACUCAGGUCAAAGCAGGUGACUGGGAUGAGUCAGGAUGGAGCAAGUGACCAGGGGAACAGGUGUGAACUACUGAAUAAAACUGAUGGAAAAGGUUGUUUACUGAAAUUAGAAGCAAGGGGGCGAAGAGAACCAGGAAGUUAAACUUUAAAAUGGAGAAUCAAAGAAUAAGAGAGCUGAACAUACAGACAUACUGAUUCUUUGAAGAAAAACUUGGGGUUCACCAUAUUUAACAUGAGCACUUUGGGGGGUUGAGGCAGGUGGAUCACUGCAGGUCAGGAGUUCGAGACCAGCCUGGCCAACAUGGUGAAACCCCGUCUCUACUAAAAAUACAAAAACUAGCUAGGUGUGGUGGCGGGUGCCUGUAAUCCUAAAUACUUGAGAGGCUGAGGCAGGAGAAUUGCUUGAACCUGGGAAGUGGAGGUUGCAGUGAGCUGGGAUUGUGCCACUGCAUGCCAGCCUGGGUCACAGAGAGACUCCGUCUCAAAAAAAAAAAAAAAAAAAAAGGUGAGCUGGAAAUAAGCUCAGGCUCGUGAGCAGUUUAUCUUCUGGAAUAAAGUCGUUUGCCUUUUUAAAGGCUCUGUCUUCCUCCAUUUCUACCAGAAACCAGACCUCUGAGGGCCCCUUCCCCUCCCACCAUCCUCAGGAUCUGAAGCCCUGGUCCUCCCUCACUUUCUGUCCAGCACUGGAACCCCAAGGGACAGAGAGUGUGUGACAGCUCCUGCAGGAAGCUGGUCAGACAAGGAGAGUGCUGGGUUAAAGGGGAUAAAUUUGGAAGGUAUCCAGGGACCUGAUCAGGGAGGAUCGUGAGUCCCAAGGAGAGAAGUUUGGAUUUCUUCCUCCAGUCAUCAUGAAGCUUGGAGGGUUUGGGGGCAGCUGCCUUGGAAGGGCUGAAAAGAGGUGGACGGCACUGGUGAGACAAUCCCUUCCCCCCCCCUCUACCCGCCAGCCACAGAAGAAGGACUCCGCAGCUCUUGGAUACAGCACUUUAAUG
rnacentral:lncRNA from 10 species